UGAGGAAUAUUGGUCAAUGGGCGAGAGCCUGAACCAGCCAAGUAGCGUGCAGGAAGACGGCCCUAUGGGUUGUAAACUGCUUUUAUGUGGGGAUAAAGUGCGUGACGUGUCAUGCAUUGCAGGUACCACAUGAAUAAGGACCGGCUAAUUCCGUGCCAGCAGCCGCGGUAAUACGGAAGGUCCGGGCGUUAUCCGGAUUUAUUGGGUUUAAAGGGAGCGUAGGCUGUCUAUUAAGCGUGUUGUGAAAUGUAGGAGCUCAACUUUUAGAUUGCAGCGCGAACUGGCAGACUUGAGUGCGCACAACGUAGGCGGAAUUCAUGGUGUAGCGGUGAAAUGCUUAGAUAUCAUGACGAACUCCGAUUGCGAAGGCAGCUUACGGGAGCGCAACUGACGCUAAAGCUCGAAGGUGCGGGUAUCGAACAGG
rnacentral:rRNA from 1 species